rnacentral:rRNA from 1 species
AUUGAACGCUGGCGGCAGGCCUAACACAUGCAAGUCGAGCGGAGGAAGGGAGCUUGCUCCUGGAUUCAGCGGCGGACGGGUGCAUAAUGCCUAGGAAUCUCCCUAGUAGUGGGGGAUAACGUCCGGAAACGGGCGCUAAUACCGCAUACGUCCUUAUGCAGAAAGUGGGGGAUCUUCGGACCUCACGCUAUCACAUGAACCUAGGUCGGAUUAUCUAGUUGGUGGGGUAAAGGCCUACCAAGCCGACGAUCCGUAACUGGUCUGAGAGGAUGAUCAGUCAAACUGGAACUGAGACACGGUCCCGACUCCUACGGGAGGCAGCAGUGGGGAAUAUUGGACAAUGGGCGCAAGCCUGAUCAAGCCAUGCCGCGUGUGUGAAGAAGGUCUUCGGAUUGUAAAGCACUUUUAGUUGGGAGGAAGGGCAGUAAGUUAAUACCUUGCUGUUUUGACGUUACCAACAGAAUAAGCACCGGCUAACUUCGUG